GACCUAGAGAAACCAAAUCUCCCUCUGUCUCAGAUGUUCAAGUAUAAGAUAAAGGUGAGUGAUGCACGUAGAGCAUGGAUGAAGAGUCGUGAAAUGUUGGAGAAUUGCUCUACAGGUUUUCAUUUCCCUUCCCAAUACGAAGAAGGAAUCCAAGUUUUUGAAAAGGUGAAACCAUUAAAGUUGCUGCAUUUCUACAGAGCAGAUUAAUAGAGUUGGCUUCAAGAACACUGGGAACCAUGCGGUCAGUUGUUUUAGCUUCUCACCGUAGCAUGUAUGUUUCACUUCUAACGUGCACCUUCUUGUUGUAUAUGAUUGGCUCAUGACUAGGACUUUGG